rnacentral:sRNA from 1 species
ACCGGGUGUGGUGGCGCACACCUGUAAUCCCAGUGGCUGGGGAGGCUGAGGCAGGAAGAUCAUAAGUUCAAAGCCAGCCUCAG